CCCUCCUGUUUCUGCCUCACUUCCUUAUGCUCCAUAGGUUGAUGGGUUCUGGUGAUGGAGGAGAUCAAGCCAUCGAAGUCAUACCCCUAUUCGCUUUAGAGGGUAUAGAUGACGGUGGAUCGGGUAGAUGCGGGACUGUCACUGUGUAUGGUAGCAGUGUGUGUUACGUAGAUACUACAUUC
rnacentral:snoRNA from 2 species